UCGAGAAUAUUCGACAAUGGGCGAAAGCCUGAUCGAGCGACGCCGCGUGUAUGAAGAAGCCCUUCGGGGUGUAAAAUACUUUUUCCGCCGAAGAAGUUAUUGACGUUAGGCGGAGAAUAAGGGGAUGCUAAUCACGUGCCAGCAGCCGCGGUAAUACGUGAUCCCCAAGCGUUAUCCGGAUUUAUUGGGCGUAAAGCGUUCGUAGGCGGCUGGGUAAGUCUUUGGUUAAAUACUCUUGGCUCAACCUCGAGGAUGCCAAAGAUACUAUCCAGCUAGAAGACGUUAGGGGCUGAUAGAACGGUCGGUGUAGGGGUGAAAUCCGUUGAUAUCGACCGGAAUACCAAAAGCGAAGGCAUUCAGCUGGGGCGAUCUUGACGCUGAGGAACGAAAGCGUGGGGAGCAAAAAGG
rnacentral:rRNA from 1 species